CGGUAACACAUGCAAGUCGAACGGAGCCAUCUAAACAAUCCCUUCGGGGUGCGUUUGGGGAAGCUUAGUGGCGGACGGGUGAGUAACGCGUGAGUAACCUGCCUUUCAGAGGGGGAUAACGUUUCGAAAGGAACGCUAAUACCGCAUAACGUAUUUUUACCGCAUGAUAGAGAUACCAAAGAUUUAUCGCUGAAAAAUGGACUCGCGUCGGAUUAGCGAGUUGGAGGGGUAACGGCCUACCAAGGCCACGAUCAGUAGCCGAACUGAGAGGUUGAUCGGCCAAAUUGGGACUGAGACGCGGCCCAGACGCCUACGGGNGGCAGCAGUGGGGGAUAUUGCGCAAUGGGGGAAACCCUGACGCAGCAAUGCCGCGUGAAGGAAGAAGGUCUUCGGAUCGUAAACUUUUGUCUUCAGGGACGAUAAUGACGGUACCUGAGGAGGAAGCCACGGCUAACUACGUGCCAGCCGCCGCAGUAACA
rnacentral:rRNA from 1 species